rnacentral:lncRNA from 1 species
CUAAAAAUAUGCUAAACAGAUCGUUGUUAGAACCGACAAACAAAGUUUAAUUUAAUUUUACUCUUAUCUUUUCUACUCGAAAAAUAGUGGUCGUAAGAGGUCGAUCCACAGAGAGGCGAUUGGAGUUGCAUAAAAAUUAAAACUUUCACUCGGAUUCGAAAUCGAUUUUUGAAUGAUAGAAGAAAAACAUUACUUUGAGGAUGUUUGAAUGAUUCUCUGGGCUACCAGAGAAUGUUUUCUACUUGAAAUUAACGGAAAGACAGGUACUUAAAUUCGAAAAGCAUUUAUAUAUUUAAUGAAAAAGAAAGCUCUGGCAUAAAAUGGAUGAAAACAGUGCUAGGAAUAUUGAAGACUGGAAUAUCGAUUGCAUGAAAGAAAUUUUAAUGUAUUGCAUAAAAAAGAAGAAAGAUUACAGAAUUUGAAGAACGGAAAUUAAAGACAACAGAAAUUAAAAACUUUAGUAUAAAUAAAACUCUCUAUUAAAAUAAAACUAAAAACCCCAAGACAACAUGUUCUCAAUUAAGAUUCAAACUCAAAACACAUUGCUCUCAAUUAAAAUUCAAACUAAAAACAACACAUUGCUCUUAAUUAAAAUAAAACUAAAAAAAUAAAACAGAAAGCUAAAACUAAAAAAAUAAAAAAGCAAGGCACUCUCUCUUCUCUCCCCUGUUCCUUCUUGAACCAGCCGACCACCUUCUUCUCCCCUCCUU